CUGGGGCUACUAUACUCAUAUGAGUAUAGAGCGCUUUGUACUCAUAAAUUUUCGGCCAUUCGGAUGAAAAAAUAUGCGGUAAGAUGAGAGUGGUUACGGUUAGGUUGAUAGUGGGCCCCCUAGGGUUGAGUGGGUGGUUGGUUGAAUAGUAUAAUCUAACGGAUGAAAAUAAUUAAAGGGUAGAUCUAACGGCCAAAAACUUAUUGAGGAUCAAAAUGGCAACCUAAGAGGGGGGGUGAAUUAGGUUUCUAAAAUAAAAAGCUAAAUAAUCAAGCAAUUUAAAAACCUGAAACAAAUAAUAGAGGAGUUUAGAGAAAUGCAAACUCAAAGAGGAACACAAUCGAUUUGUUUCGAGGUUCGGCACUUUGCCUACGUCCCCGCCAACUCCUCAACACAAGAGAACGUUGGAUCUCCACUAGAUGAUGCUUUUGCGGGCAAGCACCAAGCCUUCACACCAACACCUUCUUUUUUUCAAGCUCCAAGAC
rnacentral:lncRNA from 1 species